UACGGAGGGGGCUAGCGUUGUUCGGAAUUACUGGGCGUAAAGCGCACGUAGGCGGACGAGAAAGUCAGAGGUGAAAUCCCAGGGCUCAACCCUGGAACUGCCUUUGAAACUCCUUGUCUUGAGGUCGAGAGAGGUGAGUGGAAUUCCGAGUGUAGAGGUGAUAUUCGUAGAUAUUCGGAGGAACACCAGUGGCGAAGGCGGCUCACUGGCUCGAUACUGACGAUGAGGUGCGAAAGCGUGGGGAGCAAACCGG
rnacentral:rRNA from 1 species